rnacentral:sRNA from 1 species
UUUUCACCGCGCGUUACGGUUUGGAAC